GUAGGGUGCGAGCGUUAAUCGGAAUUACUGGGSGUAAAGCGUGCGCAGGCGGCCCUUUAAGACAGGUGUGAAAUCCCCGGGCUUAACCUGGGAAUGGCGCUUGUGACUGGGGGGCUUGGAGUGCGGAAGAGGGAGAUGGAAUUCCUGGUGUAGCAGUGAAAUGCGUAGAGAUCAGGAGGAACACCGAUGGCGAAGGCAGUCUCCUGGGCCAGCACUGACUCUCAGGCACGAAAGCGUGGGGAGCAAACAGGAUUAGAUACCCUGGUAGUCCACGCCCUAAACGAUGUCGACUAGUUGUUGGGGAAGGAGACUUCCUUAGUAACGCAGCUAACGCGUGAAGUCGACCGCCUGGGGAGUACGGCCGCAAGGUUA
rnacentral:rRNA from 1 species